ACUCCUACGGGAGGCAGCAGUGGGGAAUAUUGCACAAUGGGCGCAAGCCUGAUGCAGCAACGCCGCGUGAGUGAUGAAGGCCUUCGGUCGUAAAGCUCUGUCCUCAAGGAAGAAUAAAUGACGGUACUUGAGGAGGAAGCCCGGCUAACUACGUGCCAGCAGCCGCGGUAAUACGUAGGGGGCAAGCGUUAUCCGGAAUCACUGGGCGUAAAGGGUGCGUAGGCGGUUUUCAAGUCAGAAGUGAAAGGCUAUGGCUCAACCAUAGUAAGCUUUUGAAACUGUUAAACUUGAGUGCAGGAGAGGAAAGUGGAAUUCCUAGUGUAGAGGUGAAAUUCGUAGAUAUUAGGAGGAACACCAGUGGCGAAGGCGACUUUCUGGACUGUAACUGACGCUGAGGCACGAAAGCGUGGGGAGCGAACAGGAUUAGAUACCCUGGUAGCACAGAG
rnacentral:rRNA from 1 species